UAGGGAAUCUUCGGCAAUGGGGGCAACCCUGACCGAGCAACGCCGCGUGAGUGAAGAAGGUUUUCGGAUCGUAAAGCUCUGUUGUAAGAGAAGAACGAGUGUGAGAGUGGAAAGUUCACACUGUGACGGUAACUUACCAGAAAGGGACGGCUAACUACGUGCCAGCAGCCGCGGUAAUACGUAGGUCCCGAGCGUUGUCCGGAUUUAUUGGGCGUAAAGCGAGCGCAGGCGGUUAGAUAAGUCUGAAGUUAAAGGCUGUGGCUUAACCAUAGUACGCUUUGGAAACUGUUUAACUUGAGUGCAGAAGGGGAGAGUGGAAUUCCAUGUGUAGCGGUGAAAUGCGUAGAUAUAUGGAGGAACACCGGUGGCGAAAGCGGCUCUCUGGCUUGUAACUGACGCUGAGGCUCGAAAGCGUGGGGAGCAAACAGGAUUAGAUACCCUGGUAGUCCACGCCGUAAACGAUGAGUGCUAGGUGUUAGACCCUUUCCGGGGUUUAGUGCCGCAGCUAACGCAUUAAGCACUCCGCCUGGGGAGUACGACCGCAAGGUUG
rnacentral:rRNA from 1 species